AUGACCUGUGCGCUCGGUCUCUCAACCGCGAUUGGCUGGGUGAGCCUUUUUCGGGUGCCCGGGCGGCCUCUCCUGCCGCGCCGCGUUACCGGUUUAUCUGGUCAACCGCUCUUGGCGGGACGUUCCUGGCACGCUGCCCGCGUCGUGGGGAGCAGUUGCGGAGGGGUCGGCCGGUGCGUGUGCACCCGGUUUCUGCAAACCUCUUUGGCCUGCCGCGAUGACGGGUGGGCCGACGCUGCUCGUGGUCCCGCUCGUCGGUUGCACUGGAUGCGCGUCUCGUCGGGGUCGCCGCGUCGUCGUUUGCGUUCGCCUCUGGAGCGUGCGGUGUGGGUGCCCCCAACCCACAGGUCUCCUCCUCACUCCUCCCUUCCGCCCCUCCCCCCGCGCGGCCCCAGGAGCUCUGCCGUCGAUGAGAUCCACCGCCUCCCGAGGUCCUUAUCCACCCAGCUCGCGAGGAAGCCGCGGGAGGAGGAGCUCAACCGGGCAUUCGCCGGCCGGAGAAGGAGGAGAGGCGCGGAUGCCAGCCAGGGAGGCGGAUCGGCUCGCCGCCGCUGCGCCGUGAGCGCCGCCGCUGCCUCUGCAUCCACCUUGUUCCGCAUAGCAGCAUGUGGGCGGAAGCGCGGACAGCCGACCACGAGCAGAUGGCGUCGGCGGCAACGGCAACACGCACGGUGCGCCAAGUCCGGUAAGAUGGGCGCGGCCUGCCCGCAGGCAUUUCAGGAUGGCGUGCCCGACGGCUCGGAACGCGCGCGCCCGGCGCACAGGAGGUAUGCCUCGGAGCACGCCGGCGGCAACGUGCACCGCGAGGUCCCGGAGCAGCCCAGCCAGUACAGAGCCCCUCCGUACUGGACGAACCCUUUCCCCUCCGUCCCCUCUCUUUCUUCUGAACCAUCUCUCUUUUCAGACCCUCUCUCUGUUACACAUUUGCAUGAAAAAACAAAAGUGUAUGCCGAUUUCCACAAUAACACUGCCUCCAACUUUCUCAUUUCCCCGGCUCUGCAUACAAGGUCCAAACUAGUUUUCUGGUCCAUGUUAGUUUGCUCGAGCUUGUUUUUACAUCUGGUCAUAUUUAUACCUCUCCGCCGACUGCCACCUAUCAUGGAGGAGGGAGAUGGCUUUGCCAGGCCGUCAACACCAAUCGGCAACUUCCGGCAGGCGCCGUCCGUUCUUCCUCCCCUUACUCCGAUGCCUUCAUGGCCAAAAUCAUUAGCAGCAGCAAGAAGUUUAGUUCAUCAUUCAGAGAUGGUGGAAUAUUUUUGUCCUUCACAGACAGUGUGGUACUCACUGGGGAUGUGUGCAGUGAUGGAGGGUUAUGUCCCAAUGGGUGACAGGCAUGAUGAAUCAACAAGUGUUCUCCGAAAGGCUGAAGGUGAAUAUCAAGGGCACCGCUCUUUGAUGAUGCGCACCCAUGGUUUGCUCACCACGAUGCAACGACAAGAUGUUCUUGAUGGGUAUUCGAGCAAAAGUGGAACAAAUGGGUUUAACUUGUAUGCCUACUCCUGUUGCGAUAAGCAUUUGGUUUCCAUCUGCAAGACAAGUUUCUGCUUGUGUAACAACAAUACUGUCUGGGUCGUCCAGUUUCUAGCUAUCAUCUGUUCCAGGAUCAUCCCGACCAUUGGGUUCCUCGUGUUCUCCUUGGUGGUUCUGUACAUUGUCUCAAGACGUAUUGGCCUGUUGAUACUGCAAAGGAAGCUGGCUGAUGCUAUGAGAUCAGGCUCAGUAUCAGCUGAAGACAUCUUGGAGAAAGUGCAGGACGGACCUGCUCAAACAAAUGCUCCUCCCAUCUAUGAUGAACUGUGA
rnacentral:rRNA from 1 species